rnacentral:rRNA from 1 species
AUUGAACGCUGGCGGCAGGCCUAACACAUGCAAGUCGAGCGGAUGAAGGGAGCUUGCUCCUGGAUUCAGCGGCGGACGGGUGAGUAAUGCCUAGGAAUCUGCCUGGUAGUGGGGGAUAACGUCCGGAAACGGGCGCUAAUACCGCAUACGUCCUGAGGGUGAAAGUGGGGGAUCUUCGGACCUCACGCUAUCAGAUGAGCCUAGGUCGGAUUAGCUAGUUGGUGGGGUAAAGACCUACCAAGGCGACGAUCCGUAACUGGUCUGAGAGGAUGAUCAGUCACCCUGGAACUGAGACACGGUCCAGACUCCUACGGAAGGCAGCAGUGGGGAAUAUUGGACAAUGGGCGAAAGCCUGAUCCAGCCAUGCCGCGUGUGUGAAGAAGGUCUUCGGAUUGUAAAGCACUUUAAGUUGGGAGGAAGGGCAGUAAGUUAAUACCUUGCUGUUUUGACGUUACCAACAGAAUAAGCACCGGCUAACUUCGUG